rnacentral:tRNA from 1 species
UUAAAAAGUAGCCAAGUGGUAAGGCAACGGAUUUUGAUUCCGAGAUACAUAGGUUCGAAUCCUUUCUUUUUAA